ACACAAAGUAUGCCAGGUAGCAGACUUGGCAGUUAAACAGUAAUUUUCUUUUUUUCAUUCUCCUCAUUUCUAAAAAUUCAAAUAAAGAAACUUCGCGUAAACUUUUGCUUCGGUAACAUAUUCCUGCUAGAUGGCUUUAAACGUGUAAUAAAUUUUCGCUGGAUCUGGUAACACUAUAAUGGAUUUGGAAUGAGAAACUUUGUGGAUCGAAAAAAAAGUUUACUUUGCUUUUUUUACCGUAAAGAAUGCAACCAAGGCGAAUCCACACAAGUACAUUUUUGGGUGCAAAAAUACCCGAGGACAAUUUAUGAAUGUUUGACCAUGUUCAAUAAACUAAAUAUUGAUGUACAGUUUGAAGACGUCCGAACUUUUUGUACGUUUUUGCUGUUUUUGUUAAAUGAAAUACAUAUUUAUUUUGUCCCUUUU